GCGUCACUAGUGCAACGAGUUUGAGCAUGCCCUUCCGGACAGAGUGCGAUGCGGGUUCGAGUCCCGCCUGACGCA